UCUUUGAGGCAGGGUGAAAUUCCCUACCGGCGGUACAGCCCGCAAGCCUUUACAUUUAGGCAUGACCCGGUGUGAUUCCGGGGCCGACAGUAUAGUCUGGAUGAGAAAAGA
rnacentral:ncRNA from 1 species